CCUACGGGUGGCAGCAGUGAGGAAUAUUGGUCAAUGGACGAGAGUCUGAACCAGCCAAGUAGCGUGAAGGAUGACUGCCCUAUGGGUUGUAAACUUCUUUUAUAUGGGAAUAAAAUGUUCCACGUGUGGGAUUUUGUAUGUACCAUAUGAAUAAGGAUCGGCUAACUCCGUGCCAGCAGCCGCGGUAAUACGGAGGAUCCGAGCGUUAUCCGGAUUUAUUGGGUUUAAAGGGAGCGUAGGUGGAUUGUUAAGUCAGUUGUGAAAGUUUGCGGCUCAACCGUAAAAUUGCAGUUGAAACUGGCAGUCUUGAGUACAGUAGAGGUGGGCGGAAUUCGUGGUGUAGCGGUGAAAUGCUUAGAUAUCACGAAGAACUCCGAUUGCGAAGGCAGCUCACUGGACUGCAACUGACACUGAGGAGCGAAAGCGUGGGUAGCAAACAGGAUUAGAUACCCCUGUAGUC
rnacentral:rRNA from 1 species